rnacentral:rRNA from 1 species
CGCUGAACUUAAGCAUAUCAAUAAGCGGAGGAAAAGAAACCAACAGGGAUUGUCUUAGUAACGGCGAGUGAAGCGACAAAAGCUCAAAUUUGAAAUCUGGCACCUUCGGUGUCCGAGUUGUAAUUUGAAGAAGGUAACUUUGGAGUUGGCUCUUGUCUAUGUUCCUUGGAACAGGACGUCACAGAGGGUGAGAAUCCCGUGCGAUGAGAUGUCCAACUCUAUGUAAAGUGCUUUCGAAGAGUCGAGUUGUUUGGGAAUGCAGCUCUAAGUAGGUGGUAAAUUCCAUCUAAAGCUAAAUAUUGGCGAGAGACCGAUAGCGAACAAGUACAGUGAUGGAAAGAUGAAAAGAACUUUGAAAAGAGAGUGAAAAAGUACGUGAAAUUGUUGAAAGGGAAGGGUUUGAGAUCAGACUUGGUAUUUUGUAUGUCUUGCUUUCGGGUGGGGCCUCUGCAGUUUACUGGGCCAGCAUCGGUUUGGACGGUAGGAUAAUGACAUUGGAAUGUGGCACUACUUCGGUG